GACAGAGGUGCCGAGCGUUAGGCGGAAUCACUGGGCUUAAAGCGUGUGUAGGCGGGUCCGUAAGUACCUUGUGAAAUCCCAUGGCUCAACCAUGGAACUGCUUGGUAUACUGCGGAUCUUGAGCCACCUAGGGGCAAGUGGAACAAAUGGUGGAGCGGUGAAAUGCGUAGAUAUCAUUUGGAACGCCAACGGAGAAAUCAGGUAGCUGGGGGUGUGCUGACGCUGAGACACGAAAGCCAGGGGAGCGAACGGG
rnacentral:rRNA from 1 species